rnacentral:rRNA from 1 species
AUGAACGCUAGCGGCAGGCCUAACACAUGCAAGUCGAGGGGUAACAGGGAGUGCUUGCACUUUGCUGACGACCGGCGCACGGGUGCGGAACGCGUAUGGAACCUGCCUCUGUCAGGGGAAUAGCCCAGAGAAAUUUGGAUUAAUGCCCCAUAGUAUUGUUAUGACACAUGUUAUAGUAAUUAAAGAUUUAUCGGACAGAGAUGGCCAUGCGUACCAUUAGUUAGUUGGUAAGGUAACGGCUUACCAAGACCGCGAUGGUUAGGGGCCCUGAGAGGGGGAUCCCCCACACUGGUACUGAGACACGGACCAGACUCCUACGGGAGGCAGCAGUGAGGAAUAUUGGACAAUGGAGGAGACUCUGAUCCAGCCAUGCCGCGUGCAGGAUGACGGCCCUAUGGGUUGUAAACUGCUUUUAUACGGGAAGAAACCCACCUACGUGUAGGUGGCUGACGGUACCKUAAGAAUAAGGACC